AUACGGAGGGUGCGAGCGUUAUCCGGAUUUAUUAGGUUUAAAGGGUGUGUAGGCGGGAGCCUAAGUCAGUGGUGAAAUCUCACAGCUUAACUGUGAAACUGCCAUUGAAACUGGGUUUCUUGAGUAUAGUUGAGGUAGGCGGAAUGUGUAAUGUAGCGGUGAAAUGCAUAGAUAUUACACAGAACACCGAUUGCGAAGGCAGCUUACUAAGCUAUUACUGACGCUGAUGCACGAAAGCGUGGGUAGCGAACAGGAUUAGAAACCCUGGUAGUCC
rnacentral:rRNA from 1 species